rnacentral:rRNA from 1 species
UACGUAGGGGGCAAGCGUUGUCCGGAAUCAUUGGGCGUAAAGCGCGCGUAGGCGGCCCGGUAAGUCCGCUGUAAAAGUCCAGGGCUCAACCCUGGAAAGCCGGUGGAUACUGUCGGGCUAGAGUCCGGAAGAGGCGAGUGGAAUUCCUGGUGUAGCGGUGGAAUGCGCAGAUAUCAGGAGGAACACCGAUGGCGAAGGCAGGUCUCUGGGCCACUACUGACGCUGAGAAGCGAAAGCGUGGGGAGCGAACAGG